AUCAGAUGGGAUCAAAUCCAGCAUAGGUGGGCCCAAUUUUAGUAGUCUUGACUCUUGAUCUUUGACAUCCAUCCUGUUUCAGAUAUUCUCUUCCCUGACGAUGAAGACUGAGCUCCACUAUUCACCUUCUUUGGUCUCUCACAACCUUGAGGAAGCCAACUUGUGGCUCAAAUAUCAUCUCCGCUGAUCUGCUGUACUUUCCUAAUCGAGUAAAUUUGCUUUCUCAUGAGCUUGAUUUACUGGCCCUCGCAAUAAUAUACUGCUGGUAGUAUUAUGUAUAUCAAAUAUUUUACUGAUGUUUCUGAACUAGUGAAGAUUAGCCGUUCCAAGUUCUGAGUUUAUCCACUCAAAUUGUUUUGGAUUUAAACCAUGGUAACUCUGGAUAAGAGAUGGUUUGUACUUUUAUGAAUGUCAAAUAGUCCUUGAAGGCAUUAUAUCCACAAAGCCAGAGAUACAUAAAGGGGACUAGGAUGUUCAGUUUGGCAUCAGGUAUUCAACUUACGUUGACUAAUCUUGGAGUGACCAGCCCAACUCCACGGAAGUUUCCCACCGGACACCAGGCCACAAGGGUAAAUUAGGAAGCGCUCGCAGCGGGCGACCCAUCAACCCAGCAUUCUUAGGUUAACCACCAAGGAAAAAUUCAUCGUAGAUGCUUGAGAAGGUGUCCUGCCGUUGCACCAUUGCCUUGAGGCACUUUCAUUGUCUUUAAACUUUACAAACGGGUGUUUUUUUGAUUAAUUUAACUUCAAUUAUUAA